CAGUCACCAUGGCAACCGCAGUAACAGUCAACAAACCCCACCUCAGGCAUACAUGUUGCUAGAGAGUGAGCAGGUGACAGGGAAUGGGGGGAGGACCUGGAUCUUGCCAACCCUGGAGAGCACCUGCCCUGCCCUCCUGAGGGCACCUAACCAUGGUACUUCCCGCACAGUAAAAUGGACACGGCGAUACCUGAACGACCUCCCGGGGCUGCUCAGAGGAAAUUCAUUUUUAAACCUUCAUGAAAGAGAAACGCCAAUGACUGU
rnacentral:lncRNA from 1 species